AUUUAAAUAGUUUAAAAAAAAUUCUGAGUUGUGGAUUCAGAGAUGUAUAAUUAUACUUUAAAUA
rnacentral:tRNA from 1 species